ensembl:lncRNA PRR11-AS1 PRR11 antisense RNA 1
AGGGUCUCUUGCUCUGUCACCCAGGCUGGAGUGGCAGUGUUGCAAUCUCGGCUCACUGCAACCUCUGCCUCCCAGGUUCAAGUAACUGGGACUACAGGUGUGCGUCACCAUGCCUGGGUAAUUUUAAAUUUUUGAUAGAGACAGGGUCUCGCUAUGUUUCCCAGGCUGUAUUACUGUCUUUGAUUACAUAGGUCAGUGACAACAGGGAACUAGGUCUCACAGUGACCUGCUAUGGACUUCAGAGAUUCCUUGGCAAGGCAUUGUCGAAAAUAUAAGGUUCAUGUUGAAGUUGUCAUAAAAUUUUUAUGUAGCUGUAUAAAU